CAGCAGCCGCGGGAAUACGGAGGGUGCAAGCGUUAAUCGGAAUUACUGGGCGUAAAGCGCACGCAGGCGGUCUGACAAGUCAGAUGUGAAAUCCCCGGGCUUAACCUGGGAACUGCAUUUGAAACUGUCAGGCUGGAGUCUUGUAGAGGGGGGUGGAAUUCCAGGUGUAGCGGUGAAAUGCGUAGAGAUCUGGAGGAAUACCGGUGGCGAAGGCGGCCCCCUGGACAAAGACUGACGCUCAGGUGCGAAAGCGUGGGGAGCAAACAGGAUUAGAUACCCGUGUAGUCCCUGUCUCUUAUAU
rnacentral:rRNA from 1 species